rnacentral:tRNA from 1 species
GGACCCGUAGCUGAGUGGUUUAUCAAUCGACUUUUAAUCGAUUGACGCCAGUUCGAUUCUGGCCGGGUCUGCCA